UAAUAAGAAAUUAUUCUAUAUUA
rnacentral:tRNA from 1 species